UACGUAGGGAGCAAGCGUUGUCCGGAAUCAUUGGGCGUAAAGCGCGCGUAGGUGGCCUCAUAAGUCCGCUGUGAAAGUCAAAGGCUCAACCUUUGAAAGCCGGUGGAUACUGUGAGGCUAGAGUACGGAAGAGGCGAGUGGAAUUCCUGGUGUAGCGGUGAAAUGCGCAGAUAUCAGGAGGAACACCAGUAGCGAAGGCAGGCUCUGG
rnacentral:rRNA from 1 species